rnacentral:rRNA from 1 species
ACUCCUGCGGGAGGCAGCAGUGGGGAAUAUUGCACAAUGGGCGCAAGCCUGAUGCAGCCAUGCCGCGUGUAUGAAGAAGGCCUUCGGGUUGUAAAGUACUUUCAGCGGGGAGGAAGGCGAUAAGGUUAAUAACCUUGUUGAUUGACGUUACCCGCAGAAGAAGCACCGGCUAACUCCGUGCCAGCAGCCGCGGUAAUACGGAGGGUGCAAGCGUUAAUCGGAAUUACUGGGCGUAAAGCGCACGCAGGCGGUCUGUCAAGUCGGAUGUGAAAUCCCCGGGCUCAACCUGGGAACUGCAUUCGAAACUGGCAGGCUAGAGUCUUGUAGAGGGGGGUAGAAUUCCAGGUGUAGCGGUGAAAUGCGUAGAGAUCUGGAGGAAUACCGGUGGCGAAGGCGGCCCCCUGGACAAAGACUGACGCUCAGGUGCGAAAGCGUGGGGAGCAAACAGGAUUAGAAACCCCGGUAGUCCCAUGA